UGGGGUGUAGCCAAGUGGUAAGGCAAGGGACUUUGACUCCCUCACGCGCAGGUUCGAGCCCUGCCACCCCAG
rnacentral:tRNA from 1 species